rnacentral:rRNA from 1 species
UACGUAGGCAGCGAGCGUUGUUCGGAGUUACUGGGCGUAAAGGGUGUGUAGGCGGUUUUCUAAGUUUGGUGUGAAAUCUCCCGGCUCAACCGGGAGGGUGCGCCGAAAACUGGGAGACUAGAGUGCGGGAUGGGAGAGUAGAAUUCCUGGUGUAGCGGUGAAAUGCGUAGAUAUCAGGAGGAACACCGGUGGCGAAGGCGGAUCUCUGGGCCUUACCUGACGCUGAGGCGCGAAAGCUAGGGGAGCGAACAGG